CAGCAGCCGCGGUAAUACGGAGGGUGCAAGCGUUAAUCGGAAUUACUGGGCGUAAAGCGCACGCAGGCGGUCUGACAAGUCAGAUGUGAAAUCCCCGGGCUUAACCUGGGAACUGCAUUUGAAACUGUCAGGCUGGAGUCUUGUAGAGGGGGGUGGAAUUCCAGGUGUAGCGGUGAAAUGCGUAGAGAUCUGGAGGAAUACCGGUGGCGAAGGCGGCCCCCUGGACAAAGACUGACGCUCAGGUGCGAAAGCGUGGGGAGCAAACAGGAUUAGAUACCCCUGUAGUCCUUGUCUCUUAUAC
rnacentral:rRNA from 1 species